rnacentral:rRNA from 1 species
UACGGGGGGGGGUAAGCGUUGUUCGGAAUUACUGGGCGUAAAGGGCUCGUAGGCGGCGCGGUAAGUCGGGUGUGAAAUCUCGGAGCUUAACUCCGAAACUGCAUUCGAUACUGCCGUGCUUGAGGACUGGAGAGGAGACUGGAAUUUACGGUGUAGCGGUGAAAUGCGUAGAUAUCGUAAGGAAGACCAGUGGCGAAGGCGGGUCUCUGGACAGUUCCCUGACACUGAGGCACGAAGGCCAGGGAGCAAACGGG